AUUCGGCCCAAGCGGGGAAGGAUGAGAAGCUUCGACUAAGGUUCGACUCGAGCGCCAGCGAGAGAGCGUUGCCGCAGGCAACGACCCGAAGGGCGAAGCGCGCAGCGCUGAGUAAUCCUUCCCCCACCACCA
rnacentral:sRNA from 1 species